UCUUGUAUAAUAAAAAAAAAACACACCACAAAUACUAUUUAAAAAAAGUGGGGACUUGGGCUGUUCACUUAAGACAAUUGUGGAUAUCAAAAAUAAUUAAUUCGUCUUCCAGGGUGAAGGCACUUAAUUUUAACAUGAUUUUGUAUCGUCCUUUUCAUAACAGCAAUGCGAUUUGUUGCUCCAAGAUGUUCUCCCGACAUUUCGGCGCCAUGAGAUUGUGGACAUGACAUUACCUUGGGCGUACGAUUAUUUCGCUUUCCUCAUUCCCGCCCCAGAUGAAACGGUCAACAUCGAUUCCGUCAUCAAACCUUUCCAAUGGCCGGUCUGGUUGGGAAUAAUCAUUUCGAUGGUUUGCGUCAUCGCCGUUAUGAAUCUAACGCAGCGCUACUUGGAAUUUCGAUCCCAAUUUAAAAGGGGAUCACAAGAAAAUUCAAAGCAGCGGCUAGGCAGUCAAUACCUCUAUGUGUUUGGCAACUUGAUGUCGCAGGGUAAAAUCUCUGAUAAAAAAAUACAAGUAUAUCAAAAAGGAAAAGUUAAUUCUUAUAACAGGGGGCCCUUGCACAUCGAAACGGUUACCAUAUCUUCUAAUUGCGACUUCGUGGACUCUAGCGGCUUUCAUCUUUGUCCAGGCGUACAAUUCGCUUCUCUUCUCCUACGUUAUCGCGCCAGUUCAUCAGCCAUUAAUCAAUUCCGUCUACGACAUAGCGGAAAGUAGCGACAUCAAUCUACUCGCUAAGAAAUCGGGGACCAUAGACACUUUGUUAUCGAACGUGAAUAAUACAGGCCUGUACAAGAAGCUAGGCAAACGACUCGAUGCUCUUCCCAACUCCCGAUGUCCUCUUGUGUCAGAGUGCAUUCAACUGAUUACACCGGGAUCGAGGAACGUUUUCA